rnacentral:lncRNA from 1 species
GCUUUAAAUUCAUAUAAAUACAUCAUACAGCCAUAGGAACUAACAUUUUAAACUGAUUUUUAAUAUUUCAAUAUCAAAAAAGAUCUUUUCUAGUGGAAAGACCUACAAUUGUUCUCUGAACAAUUGGUUUUUAAUUAUUAUUAGGUCUUUCAACCUUUCAGGUGAAAGACCUAUAGGGUUUGUUCUGAUUAUUAUUAUUAUUAUUAUUAUUAUUAUUAUUAUUAUUAUUUUUUUUUUUUUUUUUUCUUCGCCAACUUUUUUCCUUCGCUUUUUUUGUUUCACAAGAUGUCGCUUAGUUAUUUGGUAUAUGAUAUCGAACAGUUAAUGCGCUUCUGAAACUGACACCGCGUAACAAAAACC